rnacentral:rRNA from 1 species
CCUACGUGGUGCAGCAGUGAGGAAUAUUGGUCAAUGGGAGGAAUCCUGAACCAGCCAUGCCGCGUGCAGGACGACGGCUCUACGAGUUGGAGACACGUUUUGUACCGGGGUAAAAUGCUCUACGAGUAGGGUUUUGAAAGUACGGUACGAAUAAGGAUCGGCUAACUCCGUGCCAGCAGCCGCGGUAAUACGGAGGAUCCGAGCGUUAUCCGGAUUCAUUGGGUUUAAAGGGUGCGCAGGGUGUUUUAUAAGUUCACGGUGAAAUACCGAGGCACAACCGCGGGGGUGCCUGUGAAACUGUAGGACUAGAGAUCGAGAGAAGCAGGCGGAAUGUGUAGUGUAGCGGUGAAAUGCAUAGAUAUUACACAGAACACCGAUUGCGAAGGCAGCUUGCUAGGCCUGAUCUGACGCUGAUGCACGAAAGCGUGGGGAUCGAACAGGAUUAGAUACCCUUGUAGUC